rnacentral:rRNA from 1 species
GACGAACGCUGGCGGCGUGCCUAAUACAUGCAAGUCGAGCGGACCGACGGGAGCUUGCUCCCUUAGGUCAGCGGCGGACGGGUGAGUAACACGUGGGUAACCUGCCUGUAAGACUGGGAUAACUCCGGGAAACCGGGGCUAAUACCGGAUGCUUGAUUGAACCGCAUGGUUCAAUCAUAAAAGGUGGCUUUUAGCUACCACUUGCAGAUGGACCCGCGGCGCAUUAGCUAGUUGGUGAGGUAACGGCUCACCAAGGCGACGAUGCGUAGCCGACCUGAGAGGGUGAUCGGCCACACUGGGACUGAGACACGGCCCAGACUCCUACGGGAGGCAGCAGUAGGGAAUCUUCCGCAAUGGACGAAAGUCUGACGGAGCAACGCCGCGUGAGUGAUGAAGGUUUUCGGAUCGUAAAACUCUGUUGUUAGGGAAGAACAAGUACCGUUCGAAUAGGGCGGUACCUUGACGGUACCUAACCAGAAAGCCACGGCUAACUACGUGCCAGCAGCCGCGGUAAUACGUAGGUGGCAAGCGUUGUCCGGAAUUAUUGGGCGUAAAGCGCGCGCAGGCGGUUUCUUAAGUCUGAUGUGAAAGCCCCCGGCUCAACCGGGGAGGGUCAUUGGAAACUGGGGAACUUGAGUGCAGAAGAGGAGAGUGGAAUUCCACGUGUAGCGGUGAAAUGCGUGGAGAUGUGGAGGAACACCAGUGGCGAAGGCGACUCUCUGGUCUGUAACUGACGCUGAGGCGCGAAAGCGUGGGGAGCGAACAGG